rnacentral:rRNA from 1 species
GACGUAGGAGGCGAGCGUUGUCCGGAUUCAUUGGGCGUAAAGAGCACGCAGGCGGUUUGGCAAGUCGGAUGUGAAAGCCCGGAGCUCAACUCCGGACCUGCAUCCGAAACUGCCCGACUAGAGGUAGGUAGGGGAGAUCGGAAUUCCUGGUGUAGCGGUGAAAUGCGCAGAUAUCAGGAGGAACACCGGUGGCGAAGGCGGAUCUCUGGGCCUUACCUGACGCUGAGGCGCGAAAGCUAGGGGAGCAAACAGG